UGGAGAGGGCUCCCGCGAGGGCGGCGGCGAGGUGGCGGCGCGGGCCCGGGCGCCCUCUGCCGGGCCGGCCCCGGAAGCCCGGACUCGCCGCUUCCGCAGCGGAGUCUCCCCUCCCGCUCUCCCGCCGCGCGCGCUGGGCUGCGCUCAGAAUCCCCCAGGGAACGGGGGUCCAGCCCUGGAGAAGCCGUCUAGGUCUGGGACAGCCAGUUCUGGGGCCACCCGUCGCAUUGUUGGGCUCCCUCUCCGGCUUCUCGGACCGUUGGCUCUCCAGCUUUUGCUCGAUCUCCUCCGGGGACCCCCCAGCACCCUCAACAUGCAUGUACCUCCUUUCAACCGAACAGGACAGGAGUGCGGCCCCAUUUCACAGAGGGUCACCCAGGGGAAACAGAGGAGCGAGAGGACUCCGGCCCGGCUGGCGCAGGCAGGGCAAGGUUCCCGAAGGAGCCCUCGGAACAGGAAUAGGGGUACAGGAAGGACGUUUCUGGAAGUGCCCUGAGCGCGCCAAAGCGGGGGGCAGGCGGGCGAGGUGCCGCCGGAGCCCCUCUGCGGAUCUUCGAGGAGGUCGGCGCUGCCCAUGUGGGGUCCGAGACUCGGACUCUCCAGACACAGCCCGCCCCAUCCGGCUGGGGAGAGGUCCCCGGCAAGCCCUGGGUGGAGCCAGGUCCCGGGGCCACCCAGGCGUCUGUCGCGGUGGGCGGUGAGAGUGAGAGCACCUGGUCGUUCGCCGCCUACCCCUCGGGCCCCGCAGCCCCUUUCGUGCGGGAAGGACGGCCGCCUCCACCUAGGCUUCCGCCAACUUUAACCAUAUUAUCUCUCCUGCCCCUACGAGUUUCCACAGUAAGGGGGCGGGGGUUGCAGGUAAUUCGCCUUCAGCCCCCGGGAACGACGUCAUCAUUCCUUUACACCAUCCCCUCAGGUCUGACUCCAACGGGGAAGUCCUUCCUGGUGUCUGACCACCAUUCCUCCUGCUGCAACUUCAGCUAAACCUUACAAGUUCUGUCCUCAGCGGAGCAAGACCUCCCCGGCCGUACCAGUAUCCAAGUACCACGCGCCUGGGCGCGUAGAUGGACUCAGUUUCCUCGGUGGGAAGUUGCACUGCCUCUGUGGUGCCCCUCUGUUUAUGGGAGUUCUGCUCCACCGCACCUAGGUCAUCUCACCCAUCCCCCAGCUUCUGAACAGGAUGCCGCCACAUUCUGUCAUUGAUCUCAAAACUAUUUGAGCGCCUACUAUGCCUCCGGUCCGAGUUCCUCGCCUCAACUCCCAGCCCCUCCGGCGGCUCCCUAGGCUUAGAGGAAGGAGCGGGAGAUCCAGGAGUACCGAUCUCCAGUCCAGGGCGCAGGGUAAGAGAGCUGAAGGUCGUCGGUGACUGGGUGAAGCCACUGGGGUAGGGCGGGGGUGGGCAGACGCCGGCGGGUCUGGGUGCUCAGGGGCCGCAGAAAGGACACUGCGCCACGCGCCGCUGCCUCCCAGCGCUCGAGCCCAGCGCGGGAUUUCCCAUUCUUAGCGCAAGGAAGACCCCUUGUGGCUGUUGUGAGAAGAGCCGGCGAAGAAAGGAGGCCAGAGCCGGGAGAUGACAGUCCCCUGCCCAGCCUCCCUGCUAUCCUGCCUGGGGUAGGGACUUGUUCCCUAGGGGGCCUUCGUGGCUCGCUAUGCCCAGAAAUCCUCCACCCAUUCCCAUACCAUCAAAACCCAACAACUGGGACUUCGGGAAUAGAGUCUUCUCGCCAAAUCACAAGGAAAAAUAAAACACAAACAGUAGCAAGUGAGACUGUGGUUAGACUCCUGGAAGGACUUCUCUCGAAGCGGCUGGGAAGCAGGAGGAUGGAUUGCGAUGAAGGGAUGAAAGAAGACAGGCUUUCCGACCCUCCCCUUCCCUGGCAGUGGGGAGAGCGUUCUCCGAGUUCUCCGAGGAAUCCUCAGCCCCUGCCCUGCGGCUCCUUCCCGCUCACAGCGAAGGAAGCUCUCCCCAGCCGGGGGCUCAGGUAGUGUCAGCGCCAGGGGCCGUCCCUCUGCCCACCCUUAGGAGGGAUGGGGGGUGCGCAAGGUCAUCGAGGACAGGGACGGGACCCCACGUUCGUCACGAUAGACCGUUGCACUCCUGAGAAGAUGCAUCCCACCCCCACCCGCGUCUGAGCUCCUUUGGGGAGCGGAAGCGCGCUAACAGUGCUGCGCCCCUUCCCCCACCCUUUGACGCUGCUAGCUACCAAGCCCCGGCCCGGGCAAUGCAAAUUUGCAUACAUUUGCAUCCCCAGCUGCGCACAGCUGCAUCCGGCUUUGGGCCAUAAAUUCGUGGCGGGAGGCUCCGGGCGAGCGGGUCCCGCGCCGCCGCCGCGCCUGUUCGCGCCCCGGGGGCCGCGGGUUCUCACGCCUCCCUGAGCAGCCGCCGGCGCUGUCCGGCCCUGCCCCGCCUCGCGCCACCUUCUGGGCGUCUGUCUGCCUCGCAUGCCGCAGCUGCAGCUGCAGCCGCAGGCCAGGCCUGAACCCCCAGAUCCCCCUUUCUCCAUCUCUCCUGGACUCGACCGGGUCAUUGUCUCCUAAAUCUAUUCACGUCUCUCUGACGCCUCGGGCCGGGGGCUUCUGGUCAGAUUUUCGUGCCAGGACUAGUGGUAGCCUUCUAGGUGGCAGUCCUGCCUCCGUGGGUACCUUGCUAGAAAACAGGUCUGAUCAUGGUCAACAGCUUAAAACACUGCAGACCCCCUAGGCUUGCAGAAUAAAGCUUAUAUUGUUCACUCUCGCCAAGAAAAGCCCCUCACGUUCUGCCGCAUUCCUCCUUUCUUUAUCUUCAGUUUUGUCUCCUGCAUCGUAGCCAGACCCAGGCCCACAACAGCCUGUGCUUCAGUUACACAAAAUUGCAGGCGAGUCAUCAGACUCCCCGUGAGCUCUCUCCCUCUGCCUGCCCUUUACCUGCGCCUCGUCUCCACCUGGACCACCCCUCCCUCUUGUCUGUCCUCUGGGGAGAUCUCCCUAAUUUCUCUCACUUUGUUGCUGUGUCCCAGUUCCCACAGAGCUUGGUCCCAGGAGAUGCUCAGAAAUACUGAAUGAGUGAGUGAAUGAAUGAAUGAAGAAUAAAGCUGCAGUUGUCCCAGGCACUAGGAAUAUGACACACAUACAGACACUCAGGGCUCCACUGGUCCCAAGUGGCCUUCACAUGACCUCUGUGAGCCCACAGGAGAGCCCCUCUCCCCGGUCCUUUUGGGUCCUCUCAUACCUCUCCAGGCACCCCCAAGGGGGUGAGGGGUGAGAAGCCAGGAGGAUUAUGAGUGGGGGGAGCUGGCACAGUGACAGAGCACCUGACUCAGAGUCAAGAGGCCUAGGUUCAAACUCUAGUGCUGCAUGACCUUGGAAAAAUUAACUUCCUCUUGCUGAGGCUGUUUCCUCAACUGUCAAAAUGGGAAUAACAUUGACUAUUAAUAGGGAUUUCAUAAUAAUUGAAUGAAAUAGUUCAUGAAAUGUGUACUACCUGUCAAAAAGGGUUGGAUUCCUUGAGGUCCAGACAGACGAUGUGGGGAUCCAUCUUGCCCCCUUCCCCUGGGGAUGAAAGCACCUCCACGAACAAUCUGAGCCAAGAAGCUAAAGGGAUUGAGGUUUCCAGGCCCUCAAAUUUCACCAGUAUGCCUUCUGCAGGAAUGCAUAGACAGCAAGGCAUUCAUCCAGUAGGGUAGAGGUCAUACCUGUUUGUUGCCUAAGGGUCCUCACUGCUGUUCCCUCAAUGGCUACCAGGGGGCAGCACAAACCCCCAAAUCACCUCCAGCAGCUUAACGGCUACUGGCAGGUGAGCCUUCUGGGCCAUCCUCUGAGAACUGAGUCCUGGUCGCCGACUCCCUCCCCUGUUCUUCCGGUUCCCUCCCAGGCAUGUCUUGGUGUCCCAUUCACAGACACCCUCACUCCCUCCCCCUACCCCCACCCCUAUGCCCCCUGUCUCUUCCAGUGGCUUUGUGCUCCCUUGGCCAAUUUACAGCAGGCUCCCAGGGCCCCUAAUUGGCCAGUGUGCCCUUGAUCAUGGCCAAUCUUGCCAUAAAUAGGCAUCUCCGGAUUGGGAGGGGCACAGCCAAAGCCUCUGCAAACAGAACACAGCAGAGAGUUCUGGGGAAGACAGACCUGCGUUCCAGGCCUGGCUCUACCACUAAUCAACUGGGACACCUCGGGCAGAUCACAGAGGGCUCAGUCUCCUCUCAGAGUUGUGAGGUGUAAAUGCAUUCAUCCAUAGAAAGCUCCACUUUGCUCCAUGCUUGUCUGAUCCCUCUGACUUUGCCCAGGGUUUGCCCUACCCCUUCUCAGGUCAGAGCCUCCCUCAUCCCAGCUCUAUUUCCAGUCCGGUGCAAACUUCCUUGAACUGGUGCCAAACUCCAUCAUCCUAACCCUGAAAUCCCCUUGGACACACACACCCAGUCCUAUCUCACCAAGAGAUGCAGCUUGGACCCAGCUUCACACCAGACAGGGGUGGUGCCUAACAUCGAGGGAACUGAUACAGAGUUCCAGCCCACUCUCACCCAUAGAGCCCCACCAGGCAUCUUCUCUGAGUGAGACAACUGACUACUCAGUUAUCUUAUAGGAGGCUGACUUGUGUGUGUGUCAGGGAUUAUGACAUCCAACAGGCUGGGCACCCCAGGAAUGUCCAGGCCUCUCACCCCAUCCCACAGACAGGAGGGCUUGGUGAGGUUGUCCCUGCUGAGACUCCUUACCUUCUUUCAUGAUGACAGUGUCCAGGAGGCGCCCCUCCCUCGUGUGGUGACUUUUCCCUCACUUCCUAUCACACCUUAUCCUUCUCACCUUUCUUUUCACUCUCUUUUCUUUUCCUCUCCUUUUGUGCAGCCACCCUUUCUGCUUCCGUUUCCUCUCCUCUUUCUUCUUGGGCUUAGUUUCUUCCCAUCCUUCUCACCCUCUAGAAACCCUAUCCUUUCUCCAUCCCAGAUGUUUUCCCUGGUCUCCCAGGGGAGGUCUCCAUCAUCUCGCUCUAAUUCCCCACCUCUGUCCUCUCUGCUUCCCCUCCCAGGCCUGAGACACCACCAGGGCCAUAGUGAUUUGAGCCACUUUUUGGAGAUCCCACUCAGAAACCAAUACCUUCAGCUUCUUCAAGGGACAUAGAUAACAUCUAACCUCCGCUGCUGGGGCAGCCUCACUGAUAGGGUAUCGAGACCAGGACAGUGCAAUGCAGAAAGCAGGAGGGCUAGAGGCAGGACUGUGGGGCUGCGGCCAGAGGUGGCCAGACAUUCUGGGCAGGGAAGGUCUUGUGAACUAUUCAUUGUUGGUGUUCUUGGUGAGUUUCACACUCGCUAGUGAUGAUGGAGACAAAUCCAGCCUCCCUCGAUGUCAUAUCAAGUCGUUCUCUAACUUAUGUUCACAUCGUUGUUCACCGCCAUCUUUCCGUAAUGACCAUCUGGUCAUCUGUAAUGACCAGAAAAUCUGGAAUGCCCAUCCCCCAGCACCAACUGCAUCUUAGACUGUGAGCUCCGGAAGGCAGGGAUGACACGUAACCAUCAGUAAAGCUCUUUGCUUUGAGAAGUCUCCGGAAUACUCAGGAGGCAACAGAAAGCAAGUGGAUACAGAGGAAACAAAGAAACAGCUGAGGCCCAGAGGGGUAGAUUUGGGGGUCAUGAGCCUUGUCAUGAGCAGUGGUUGAAAUCGUCAGAGCAGAUGAGCUAUCUCAGGAGGAGGGAACAGUGAGAUGGGAGCUGAGACUGGAACACUGGAACCACCGCUAUUUCAAAGGUAUGAGGCUGAGAUGAAGCAGCCAGAGAGGUUGAAGGGGGCCUUCCAGACACCAGCUCCUGAGAGCAUCCAUACAUAGUACAUUCAUAAGAGUUUUAAACAAUUGUUGUCAAGAGUACUUAGUGCUACAGGACAAUUUUAUGAUGCUAAGUUAAAAAAAUACAAAAUGGUACACACACUACGUAAAAACACGAAUUUGAACAAAAAACAGCCAAUAUGGACAAAACCUAGUCAAGCACACAAACAUAAAAAUAUGUAUUAUAUUAAUAUGCUAGGAUUAUGCUUUUUCCAAUUUUUGCUUAUAUCAAUUUUUGUUAUGAUUAUGAGAUAAAAUAUUUUAUGAAAAAUUAAAUAAUUAUUCAACAUUUGAACUGAGUCUCCUCAGGAAACUGAUACCCAGAGAGGCAAAUUAAUUUACCCAAUAUCACACAGCCUGAAUGACAAAGCCUGACUUGAAUUCUCACCUAAUGAUUCUUUCCCAUUGCCUGGGCUGUUCUGGGCUGGUGCUUUGGCUAAGUCUGGAGCAAGGUCAGUUGUGAGCUUAUAUUGCUUCCUACCCUCUCUCAAUCCACACUUUAUCCUGCCGCCCUGUGCCCUUGGCCUUCUGCUAGCAUGCUGCCCCUGAAGCCCUCUCUGGCCUUCUGGCCUUUCCACCUGAACAGACACAUCACCUGCAAUUUUCUGCUUCCGAUCUGUAUGGCUGUCCUGGUACAGAGCUAAGAGCAGCUUUCCUCCACCUUCCUUAAUGACUUCUUCCUCUUGGCCCUGAGAAGCCCAUAAGACAUUUUCCACAGCCCAUCCAGAGCAUAGUCCAAAGCACCUUUCAAUCAUAUUCAUAAAUGAUUUGGGGAUUAUCUACUGCCCUGAAUUACUGAGGCCAUUGCUUCCCCUCUAUUAGUGACUCAACUUGGACUCAGUGGAAUUUAAUAUAUUCAAAUGAACACAAACAUGUAUUCACAGAGUGAUAUUCAAAUUAACACAUCCCUCCAACUCGCACACACACAGACCUGCCGUUUUGUGGGGAGGAAAGGGAAGCUCUUUGCCCCAUCUCUUUUUGGAGAAAGCAACAGCGACUCAGUUCUGAGAAAUCUCUAAUGUGCAUUAGGGUACCCCUCCUCCAAUGAGACACCUGUACUGCCAACCCCCUAGUUUGCCCCCCUAUAUAUGCUCCCCUCUCAUACACUUCCUGGGACCACCUCAGGUGGUCUGGGGAUGGAGGGAAGGAAACAUCAGGAUUCCAGGCCCUCCACCCCUACACCAGGGUGGAAAUUAAAGUCAUUCAGGAUGCAGAAGGGCAUCUUAAAGUGAUCAGAAAUGUUUUUUAGAUUUUCAGGGGAGUCAUGCAGUCCCGAGCAAAGACUAUUCUAACUCAGAACACAUGAGGGUAAACGCUAAGCUGAUUCAUUGCCCAGAGCCCUUCAGAAGUGAAGUUUCAGCCGUCUGUGUCUGGGUGAAGAAGACAUUCUGCCUGGAGGCCGAGGAUGCAGGCCCUCCGUGAGCUUCCACAUUCCCCGCAUCUGUGUCUUGGUGUACACACGCACACGCACGGGUCCCCUGCACAUCAUCUGUUUUUCUAAGCCUUCAUCUCCCAAACGUCCUCGUUUCAUUCCAGUCUCCCAGUUUUUCACACGGACAAGCUUGUGCCGCCUCCUCACUCUCUUCCACCUCCUUUAUCCAAGCUUGCAACUUCGUCCCCAACCACAGCUGACCCGCUCCUUAAUCCAAACCAGAAACUCUCUUUUCUGCUUUGAGUGAAAGAGACAUGGGGAGGGGGGUCAGCAAGAUGGUUUCUACCUGCCCUCUGAUCCCUUAGGCUGAUGAAUGGGGCAAUGGAGAUCUCCAAAGGAGGAAGUUUUUACUCCCAUGCUGAAAGGCAGCAAAAGAUUGAGGCAGAAAUAAGGAUCCAAUUGUUUUAGCUGGACACUAAAGAUGUGGAUUUCUAGUCUUGUUACAAGACUCCAGUCAUCUCAAGGAGGAUUAUAAAAUUCUCAAAAGUGAUUGUCUUGAAUUUUUUUUAACAGAAAAAUACCACAAAGAGAACUGACUCUGUUUCUGUGGGGAUGGCAAGGGUCUCUUUCACAUACAAAAUCAUGAAGAGCACAAUAAAAAUAGAAAUUGCUUUUCAAGGUUAAGAAUCCUUGUUUUAGACAUCAUUGCUGAGAGAAUCAGGAGGGCUGAGGAUGGGAGACGCUCCAUCCCCAAGAAGAGAGAUAGGCGGUUUUCCUUUCCCCACACUUCCAAAGGGGAAGAGGAAAAUAUCUGUGCUUUUCUUUCCCUCUCAACUUCUUCCCUCAAACCCUCUUAUUAGCUAUCUACUCCUAGAAACCAGGAAAUAAAAAACGGAGAGGAAAAAGGGAGAGAGGAAUGAGAAGAUGGUAGAAAGGGAAAAAUGGAGAAAGGACGAUAAGAGAAAAAGUCAGGAAGAGGCAAACAAAAGGGGAAGAGAAAACAGAGGGAACAUCUGCGUCCUGGUCUAGAAGCGGGAGAUGUGCCCGCACUGCACCCUCUGCAGCCGCAGAUAGUCCCAGCCCUGCUCUCUCCUGGGAGCAUCAUAGUAGCUCUGUCCCCUCCACCUCCCAGCUCCCUGUGGAGACACGCCUGGAAUGGUGAGGCAGGACCUAGAGAAAGGGGGUUCAUGGCAGAGGACAAAGGAACACAGUCAGGGCAGGUCUCUGGGAGCUGGGCUCUCCUGGCUCCUGCCGGGAAGAGCUGAAACAUAAAGCAGCAGAGGGUCAGGGGGUGGAGGAAGUAAGAGGCGAACAGGCUGCACAGAGAGUGCUGCAUGGUUUGCAAACAGCGGAAGGAAUGGUCCAUCGCAUUCCUACGCAGCACAGGCAAGGGCUCACCUGCCCUUCCUUCCUUGCUGCAGAUCUCACCUGCCCCCACACCACCCUUGGUGCAGAUGCAGAAGCAGAGGUUCAUAAGCUGCAGCAGCUGUGGCCAAGACUUCAGCUUCCCACCGGCUUCCUUCCCCAGAAGAGAGCAGAGGUAGGAAGCGGGGCAAAAAAGGAAAGGGUGCCAUAGUAACCCCAAACCUUUUCAUCUCAACAGCCCCCAUAUUUAUCAGCAAGCUCAAUUUUCAGCAUCUCUUCCUCUCCCUGGCUCAGAACCAAAUGAUCACACAAGGCUUUCCUGAGAAGAGGCAUGAGGCUGUGGAGCCAGCACCGCCUCUUGCCGUCUGGGAGGGGGCAUCACAUUAUACACAGAAAGAGAUGCACCUGUUUCCAGAGGUGGCAUGGGGUAGAAAGGGCUCGUAAAGAGUCCCAGAUUGUUGCAAGAAAGAUAAUAAUUUGAUGGGGUGGAAAUUAAAUGUCCAAAUUGAGGCUACUUAUGGAAUUUAAAGGAGGCGGAGAGAACAUGGGGUGGUGAGGCCAGAAAUGAGAAGAAAAAAGACAAAGAAAGAGAAAAACACACACGAUAUAGUAGACAAAGGGGAGAAACCAUAAAAAAUACAGACGCACAAAUAAAGACAGAAGCUGAGAGAGGAGGGAGCUGGCACCUGGAAAUCAAGAUGUUCCAGCUGCAGAGGGGGUGUGGGAAGCAAGAGAGCAGAGUGGGGAGGAGGAGACAAAGGCCGAGGACCCAAGGAGCUGAGAACCAGACCCUUCCCCUCAUGCGCCUUCAGCUUGUCCACGACUUGAAGCAGGUGAGUUCACGAGGUUUCUCACUCAGUCUUCACUCCCCGCCAGUCUGCUGCAAUAAGAGCCCCAGUCCUCAGGUGGCGUGCUCCACACACCAGCUGGCCCCAGCUUUUGCCUUGUUUGCACCCCUCCCCCCACAGGCCACACUCAAGGCUUGGGUAGCGCUAGCUUGGCAUGUCCGCAGGCUGUGACAGGCACGCUCACGUGCAGCACACACUCCUGUGCAGCAGCCCUCAACACUAGGGCUUUCACCCCAGCUCACACUUCCUCGCAAAGGGCGGAGGCUGCCUGGGGGCUGCUUACUCCUAACAGGGCGGUUUCGAGCUGUGUGCUCAGCAGUCCAACUAAGCACAGACUCCCACACAGCGAUCCUCCAUUUUCCCCAGGCUGUCAGCGCUGCAUCGAUUUCACUAGCACUGCAGCCCUUUAGUGGAGACAAAAGGGGAGGCAAAAUUGUUGGGCUCUGGCCUCCUCCAGCACACGGAGAGGCAAGAUUCCUGGGAGAAGAGUUAUGAGUGACGAUGAGCUCAUCUGAAUGAGUGCCAUGCAGGCAUACCCUCUGACACACUGGAGGGAAAGAAAAACCAAGACACACUUGUUUAGGAGUUGGAGUGCGGGUGUCAAAACCCUGAAGUCUUGUUUUCCACUGGGCCCGAGGCAGAGACAAAGUGGCAUGCUGGUGAGAGAACUAGAAAGAGAUCUAAAGGGAAAGGGGCAAGCAGUCCCAGGCUUCAGAGGUAGCAAAUAAAUAAUGUCCAGAAGGGUCUGGCUCUGAAGUGGACCAAAUGGCUCUCCUGUCCCAUGUUUAUGAGGUCAUGGACCAUUAAACCAGCCAACCUACAGAUGUCUUUAUAAGACUUUAUGAGAUUAGACUGGGGAGACCCUAUAACUCAGCAGCAAGAAGCGACAACAGGGAGAACUGCAGGUAAGAGAUGGUGGAAUCAAGGGGGCUCAGCCUUCGGAGGAAGGCUGAGUAGGAAGACCAUAGUGGGAAGACGUCUGGGUUCUGGGGUCCCUCCAUCUUCCUCAUUUCUCACUCUUCUGUGAAUUUCUGCCCAUCUCUGUUAGAUUCAGAACUGCAUCAGGCUUACAUUACCUAAUAAAUUCUUGAUUACCUAUCUACAUUCUUUCCCUCCUGAUCCAACUUUCAAUUGCCCGCCCCCUGCCUUAUUCCUGACCCACAAUAAUUUGAUCCUGAGAAGAUAGUUUCUUUGGUAUUUGUGUAGCAAAUCAGAUAGUAAAAGUUAUAUUUUAAAACUCUCAUUUAUUGGGAUUUUCAAACCUGGUUUAGAUUGUCAAUGUGAUUUUCCACAAAUUCUAAUAACCAGGAGCUGACUUUUCUAGGGGGCUCUGAAGGCCACUGGGAGCAGGAAUGAGCAUGGAAGCUAGGAAGGCACAAAAUCUGAAUUAAGGGAAUAGAAUACAGAACAGGAUACAUAUUCUCUCAUUCCCUCAGAGUUGUGCCACCCUGUGGCUAUUUGCAGAAAGUCAGAGACAAAGGAUCCUUAUAAAAAAGCCUUUGUUCUCCAAGUCUGGCCGCUCUUUCAGAAAUGCAUGUGUGACUACUGACUGACAGUCCAGGGCCCACUUUAAGGAAGGGGUGUAAGACCUAGAUCUUUAAACCACCACUCAGGAUCCAUAUUUGAAAAGCAACCAUUUAUUAGAACCAAUACAAGAGUAUGAAAAGAGGGAAAAGAGGAGGGUGGAAGAGGGGGAGAGAAUGAGGUCUGCGUUGGAUGUCAGUUGUCGAAACACAUAAACUGCCUACUUUUAAACAUUUACAUUUAAAAGGCGAACAUAUAUAUAUAUCACUUAUCCUAAAAAAAAUCAAAAGCAGACAUGUUUGGCUGAAAUAGAACCAAGAAACACAACCAAAACUCC